AGCCCGGUAGUCUAGUGGCCAAGGAUCGCGGACUUUGGAUCCGUGGACGGAGGUUCGAAUCCUCCCCGGGCUA
rnacentral:tRNA from 1 species